GGUUUACGGAGGCGACGGCCGUGACAUCAUUUUUGGCGGCGUCGGGGCCGACAGUCUGGAUGCUGGAGCGGGCACUGACCUUAUCGUCGAUCUCUGGGGUGCCAACAUUCUGGUUGGCGGGCCGGACAGCGAUGUUCUGGUCGGCGGACUCGAUAGGGAUUCAUUGUUGGGCGGCGACGGAACUGACUUUCUUUUCAAUCUUGGCGGAGAGGACUGGAUGCGCGGUGAG
rnacentral:misc_RNA from 1 species